AUCCAGCUAACGAGUCGCAAAUAGGACGAAACACGCGUCAAACUGAAU
rfam:Schistosoma mansoni strain Puerto Rico chromosome 5, complete genome